CCCGGGGGCAACCCUGGUGGCGAGUGGCAAACGGGUGAGUAAUGCGUCAGAACGUGCCCCGUAUUGGGGGAUAACUAGUCAAAUUAUUAUCUAAUACCGCAUACCACCUAUGGGUGAAAUCGGUUGACCUUUACCGGCCUCGCGCUAUCUUAGCGGCCUAUGUCUGAUUAACUAUUUGGCGGGGUAAAACCCCACCUGGGCUACGAUCAUUAUCUGGUCUGAUAGGACUACCACCCACACUGGAACUGAAACACAGCCCACACUCCUACAGGAGGCACCAUUGGGGAAUUUUGGACAAUGGCCUCAAGCCUGAUCCAACCAUGCCUCGUGCGUGAAGAACGCCUUCGGG
rnacentral:rRNA from 1 species